GGAAUCCUAGGGACGCAGCAGUAGGGAAUUUUCGGCAAUGGGGGAAACCCUGACCGAGCAACGCCGCGUGAGGGAGGAAGUAUUUCGGUAUGUAAACCUCUGUUAUAAAGGAAGAACGAUGCAUGUAGGGAAUGACAUGCAAGUGGCGGUACUUUAUGAGGAAGCCACGGCUAACUACGUGCCAGCAGCCGCGGUAAUACGUAGGUGGCGAGCGUUAUCCGGAAUUAUUGGGCGUAAAGAGGGAGCAGGCGGCAGCUAAGGUCUGCGGUGAAAGCCCGAAGCUAAACUUCGGUAAGCCGUGGAAA
rnacentral:rRNA from 1 species